rfam:Dipodomys ordii contig_45158, whole genome shotgun sequence.
GGGAAUGGGGCUCAGUGGUAGAGUGCUUGUCUAGCAUACAUGAAACCCUGGAUUCAAUUCCUUAGUCCCA